UGUACAUACUGUAUUAAAAUGUAGAUUAAAUGCAUUUUUAUUUUAUGCACAGGAAAUGCUUUUGGAAGAAAAAACUUUUAAGCAUUGGAUUAUACUGUGGGACAUCAGAUCGUUUUAAAGUAUUUUUAUACUUUCUGCAGCAUCUAGCAGCAUUACCUUGGGGAAGCUGAGAUGACUGUGUAAAUUGAAACAAAAUCUGAUUUGGAUCUUCAGGGAUUUUGGAGAAAUUCUGUCAAGAAACAGAAAUGGCAUACAAGCUGUGAGAAGUACUUGUACCCCCUUCACCAAAAUAUGCUCCUAAUGCGAAAAGAAUUUGAAGGCAGUUACUUGUGAGCAGGUUGGGUCAACCCAGAGAUCAGGUCAUCAGGCAAACGUGGUUAUAGCGAUAGGCUGAGUCACCUUCCACUUUUUUCUUUGUUCUUGCCUGAAAUGUCAGUUCUUAAGAGCCCUGUCUUCCCCAGCUUGGCUCUGCAUUGGCACUGCAGUAGGUAAGUAGCUCUGAAAACUGCUUCUCUGUUGGCUCAGGUGCUUGACUGUGUUUUUAAAUACCUUAUCUUAAACAUCUAACUUUAAAAUGCUGCAUUUAAAAUAAAUUCAGGUGAGAGCCAUGAGUGAUGUUUGGG
rnacentral:lncRNA from 1 species